UUCUAAUUACACCCUAAACAGCAACAAUCAUGUGACAGACAAUGACACCAGUGGAAGCUACGUGUAUGGCACAGUGAUAGAGUUCACAUGUGAGGAUGGUUAUGAGCUGGUCGGAGGAAGAGGAGCUACCACAAAACUUGUUAGAUGUAGUGCAUCUGGAGCUGGAGUAGGCUGGGACUCAACAGUUCCCACAUGUCAGGUAUUUUCUUGUUCUAAUUACACACUAAACAGCAACAAUCAUGUGACAGGCAAUGACACCAGUGGAAGCUACGUGUAUGGCACAGUGAUAGAGUUCACAUGUGAGGAUGGUUAUGAACUGGUUGGAGGAGGAGGAGCUACCACAAAACUUGUUAGAUGUAGUGCAUCUGGAGCCAGAGUAGACUGGGACUCAACAGUUCCCACAUGUCAGGUACCCCAACCUGCUUCCACAGCUGUCAGUAACUACCCAAGAAAUGUAUUUACUUGUGCCAUAAUAAUAUUAUCAAACUUGCUUGUUUACAUACAGUUUUAAAGGAUUUGUAUAAAUGCAGCUUUGAAGGAUAAGCC